GACGAACGCUGGCGGCGUGCUUAACACAUGCAAGUCGAACGGUGAAGCGCGGUCCUUGUUGGUGGGAGGGGAGGAGCGGAGAACGGGGGAGUAACACGUGAGUAACCUGCUCCGUCCGGCAGGAUAACCGCAUGAAAGAGUGGCUAAUACGGGAUAUUCUGAGUCUGUCGGAUGAUGGGUCUGGGAAAGAUAUGGUGUCGGUGGGGGAUGGGCUCGCGGCCUAUCAGCUUGUUGGUGGGGUGAGGGCCUACCAAGGCGGUGACGGGUAGCCGGCCUGAGAGGGUGGGCGGCCACACUGCGGCUGCGCCACCCAGCCGCCUCCUGCGGGCGGCAGCAGGGGGGAUUCUUGCACGGUCGGCGCCAGGAUGGUGCAGCGACGCCUGGUGGGGGAUGGUGGCCUUCGCGUUGUGAUCCUCUUUCGCCAGUGAAGCAGGCCUGCCUCGUCUGUGCGUGGCUUGACGGUAGCUGGACAAGAAGCGCCGGCUAACUACGUG
rnacentral:rRNA from 1 species